ACGGCUCAGUAACACGUGGACAAUCUAACCUAUGGAAGAGGAUAACCCCGGGAAACUGGGGAUAAUACUCUAUAGACUAUGGAUGCUGGAAUGCUUUGUAGUCGAAAGGUCCGCCGCCAUAGGAUGGGUCUGCGGCCGAUUAGGUUGUUGUUGGGGUAACGGCCCAACAAGCCUGUAAUCGGUACGGGUUGUGGGAGCAAGAGCCCGGAGAUGGAUUCUGAGACACGAAUCCAGGCCCUACGGGGCGCAGCAGGCGCGAAAACUUUACAAUGCGGGAAACCGUGAUAGGGGAACUCCGAGUGCCCGUUAAAUCGGGCUGUCCACCAGUUUAAAUAACUGGUGAAGAAAGGGCCGGGCAAGACCGGUGCCAGCCGCCGCGGUAAUACCGGCGGCUCGAGUGGUGGCCACUAUUACUGGGCUUAAAGCGUUCGUAGCUGGUUUGUUAAGUCUCUGGGGAAAUCUUCCGGCUUAACCGGAAGGCGUUUCAGGGAUACUGGCAGACUAGGGACCGGGAGAGGUGAGGGGUACUCCAGGGGUAGGAGUGAAAUCCUGUAAUCCUUGGGGGACCACCUGUGGCGAAGGCGCCUCACCAGAACGGCUCCGACAGUGAGGGACGAAAGCUGGGGGAGCAAACCGGAUUAGAUACCCGGGUAGUCCCAGCUGUAAACGAUGCGCGUUAGGUGUAUCGAUGACCACGAGUCAUCGAGGUGCCGAAGAGAAAUCGUGAAACGUGCCGCCUGGGAAGUACGGUCGCAAGGCUGAAACUUAAAGGAAUUGGCGGGGGAGCAC
rnacentral:rRNA from 1 species